UGUCGGUCUCCAACUCCCUGCCUCAAGUGAUCCGUCUGUCUUGGCCCCCCAAAGUGCUGGGAUUACAGGCAUGAGCCACUGCGCCCAGCCAGAAUCUAACUUUUUGACAGUUUAAACAUACACUGAAUUAUCCGGAGACAUAAUCACUAUGUAAAUGAAGCAAUGUCUGUGCUCUGUUUUAUCUGAAAUGUCAUCAAUGAGCUGUCACCAUUUCAGAAAGAUCAAAGCAGCAAAGUCAAUGCCACUGAGGAUGUCAGAACCUCCAGUAAAACAUACCUACAAUAGUCUACAUUUGGAGCUACUGCAUUACUGGCAAUUCUGUUCAUAUGUGAGUAAAUGUAAACACACUCAGGCUUUGCUCCUCCUUCAUAAUGUCAAUUUUAAGUAAAAAGGCUGAGCAUAUUCAGCUGGAUGUUUCACUCCUUUUAAAUAAAAACACUCAGUGAGGAGGAACAAGGCAUCAGAGUGUCUGGUAUAACUCUUGGGAAUGGGACAGUAUAGUUCUUGACUCCAUAAGACUGAAAUAUGUAUUACUUUAUUAGAAAUUAUUUUCCUUUUAUUUCUCCAUCAUAUUUGAGUUAGAGAAUUAAUCCCGUUUGAAAUUACAUAGGUAGGCAAGGUUAUACAAUUUACAACUUUCAUCUCAUAUUUAUAAUAAUAGGAAAUAUUGGGUCUGGCAGUGCUGAGGCCUUUGCUUUGGAAGCCAAGCUGAUUCUCCUCUUUUCCUCAGACUCCAGUAUUCUCAGAGGGCUGGAGGAAUUAACUGGCACCCCCUCCAUCUUUCCCUUAGCCACUGUUCUUUGUAUCCUACCACACCAAGAGCAUGCAUGUGCUAUUCAAGGCAGGAAGCCCAACAAGUCCCUGGGCCCAGCAGUGAGCCUCUGCUGGCUGCAGGUUAUCUUGGUCUCUACCCAGCAGCACCCCCUCAUCCGCCUCUUCAGUUUCCCACCCUUCUAACAGGUGCUCUUUUCCUUGGCUCAGCUCUAUGGUCAGUGAUGGAAGCUACAGACUCUCUGCAGGCCCACAGAGCUCAGGAAACUUCCAUUUCUUUUUUCUCUGCACACAUUUUGGACUCAACACUUAUCAAGGAAGCCCUAGGUUGGGCCAGGUGUCCGGCUAAUCGCCUGCACAAACAUUAUGUAUCAGGUUUAUUAUGCAUCAAUGACGAUUCUGAGACUGAGAGGCAAUUACACUUCCCCCAAGACCAUACAAGCCAGAAAGAAGAAGAGCCAAUUUCAAAUCCAAGUCCUUCAACAACUUCUUAGCUUUGGACAAAAAAGAAGCAUGAAGAAUGAAAACCUUCCAUGACCUCUGCAAAAAGUAAAUUACAAAAUGAUGGCAACUGAUAGAAAACAACUAACAUAUUUUUCUUGAUAACGUCACACUGGCUGAUCUGAUCCAUGAAACAUUACAUCAUUCACUGGGCAAUGCUCA